rnacentral:lncRNA from 1 species
UCCCCUCCUGGUCUCCCAAGGCUGCAUCAGUCCAGGCUCUCCCCAGCCCUCACCUGGCUGUCCAAAUUGCCUCCUAGCUGCCUCUGGGGAAUCACCCACAUGCAUCCAGAAUGACCUUCCUAAAGGACAAAAGGGACCACUUUCCUUACCUCAGGCUAUGCUUCUUGAGGGCAAGUCUAUAUUUGACUCAUCUUUCUACUCACAAGCCUUGCACAGUCCGAGGCACCAGGUCAGCCCUGCAGCCCAGCUGGAGCUCUUCAAUUACUCAAGGCAUGUGCCCAAGCGUGAGAAAUUCUGGCUCCCUGCUCAGCGUAGAUAACACCAUCGCUUAAGCCGCCUCUUUCCAAUUCGUUCCUCCCAAGUCUGUCUUCAAGAUAGAGGACACCAGAUCCUCAUCCUGGGCGCAUCAAUUCUAAACCAGGCUUGCUACCUUCCUCUGAAAAAACCGUGAUGCAGAAGAGCAUGGUGACCAUGAAAGUGAGGUGUUGAAAACUGAGGAGCCACAAGAUGGAAGGGGCCAGGGUCCCUGAAUGACUGCAUGGAAAAGAGUCACCUGCUGAUCAGGGUGUAUUUGCAUUCCUCGUGUCUAACAUGAAUUGAAUGAGCAAGUGAAUUUGUCAAGAGAAGGAUAUGAGACUGAUCCUAUCUCAAGUCAGAGGCAGAGCACAGAAAGCAGCAUUUGCAAAGUUUGGCCUAUUUCUCAUCUAGACAAGUGUCAUGAGUCACCACACCCGAGGAUGGAAUAUGGUCUGGAAAGAUCCCUGGCCGAGGAAGCAGGAGCCGUGGACUCAGAGCCCACUCAGUCCCCAGUUCACUGCACACUCUGGCACGUCACCUUAUCUCUCCCAGACUCAAAUCUUUUAUUUAUCAAACAUAGGAUUUGUGCUAAAUAAUAUUGAAAGACCGUUUUAAUUUUAAAAUGACAUUAUUUAAACCUAGGAACCUGAAGAAGAAAUAGAAAACAAUGCUCUGUCUGUGCUAAUUCAGAAGCCACUAACCACAUGUGGUGAUGGAGUGCUUGAAAUCUGGCUGGUCCAGGUUGAAAUGUGCUGUGAGUAUGAAAUGCACACUGGAUUUUAAAGAUUUAUUACCAAACA